rnacentral:rRNA from 1 species
UACAGAGGUCUCAAGCGUUGUUCGGAUUCAUUGGGCGUAAAGGGUGCGUAGGUGGCGUCGUAAGUCGGGUGUGAAAUUUCGGAGCUCAACUCCGAAACUGCAUUCGAUACUGCGGUGCUUGAGGACUGGAGAGGAGACUGGAAUUUACGGUGUAGCAGUGAAAUGCGUAGAGAUCGUAAGGAAGACCAGUGGCGAAGGCGGGUCUCUGGGCCGAAACUGACGCUGAGGAGCGAAAGCCAGGGGAGCAAACGGG